rnacentral:rRNA from 1 species
GUGGCGGACGGGUGAGUAACACGUGGGAANGUGCCCUUUGGUUCGGAAUAACUCAGGGAAACUUGAGCUAAUACCGGAUGUGCCCUUCGGGGGAAAGAUUUAUCGCCAUUGGAGCGGCCCGCGUCGGAUUAGGUAGUUGGUGGGGUAAUGGCCCACCAAGCCUGCGAUCCGUAGCUGGUCUGAGAGGAUGAUCAGCCACANUGGGACUGAGACACGGCCCAAACUCCUACGGGAGGCAGCAGUGGGGAAUCUUGCGCAAUGGGCGAAAGCCUGACGCAGCCAUGCCGCGUGAAUGAUGAAGGUCUUAGGAUUGUAAAAUUCUUUCACCGGGGACGAUAAUGACGGUACCCGGAGAAGAAGCCCCGGCUAACUUCGUGCCAGCAGCCGCGGUAAUACNAAGGGGGCUAGCGUUGCUCGGAUUUACUGGGCGUAAAGGGNGCGUAGGCGGACAGUUUAGUCAGGGGUGAAAUCCCGGGGCUCAACCUNGGAAUUGCCCUUGAUACUGACUGUCUUGAGUACGGNAGAGGUGUGUGGAACUCCGAGUGUAGAGGUGAAAUUCGUAGAUAUUCGGAAGAACACCAGUGGCGAAGGCGACACACUGGCCCGUUACUGACGCUGAGGCGCGAAAGCGUGGGGAGCAAACAGGAUUAGAUACCCUGGUAGUCCAC